GACGAACGCUGGCGGCGUGCUUAACACAUGCAAGUCGAACGGAAAGGCCCUGCUUUUGUGGGGUGCUCGAGUGGCGAACGGGUGAGUAACACGUGAGUAACCUGCCCUUGACUUUGGGAUAACUUCAGGAAACUGGGGCUAAUACCGACUAGGAGCUCCUGCUGCAUGGUGGGGGUUGGAAAGUUUCGGCGGUUGGGGAUGGACUCGCGGCUUAUCAGCUUGUUGGUGGGGUAGUGGCUUACCAAGGCUUUGACGGGUAGCCGGCCUGAGAGGGUGACCGGCCACAUUGGGACUGAGAUACGGCCCAGACUCCUACGGGAGGCAGCAGUGGGGAAUAUUGCACAAUGGGCGGAAGCCUGAUGCAGCAACGCCGCGUGCGGGAUGACGGCCUUCGGGUUGUAAACCGCUUUCGCCUGUGACGAAGCGUGAGUGACGGUAAUGGGUAAAGAAGCACCGGCUAACUACGUG
rnacentral:rRNA from 1 species